GCGGUAAUGACUCAAUUGGCAGAGUGUCACCUUCCCAAGGUGAACGUUGCGGGUUCGAGUCCCGUUUACCGCUCCA
rnacentral:tRNA from 2 species